GUUGGACAAUGAUCACAAGACUUCUACCGUGAAUCUGGCGCAGUUUAUCAGGGGUUCCCUACACUGGUCCUCGAAGACAGCUGGUCAACAUGUUUUCCAGCAUCUCUGUCCAUCAUCCACCUGCUGUGUGUUCAGUCAGAGCUGAAAAUGACCAUUUCAGGGUGAAUAACAGUCAGUCAUCUGUCAGACAGAAUUCAAUACUCUUUCUCCAGGCCAACUAAUUGUCUCCAGUGCAAAUGAUCCUUUGUCAUCCCACUCCCUGAGGACACUCCAGAGUAGUAAUUGUCAUUGUGGACUCCAGCAGGUCUACAUGUUAAGUUAAGAGACUGGAUUCUGAGAGCGAGAUCCUGUGAAGUGUUCAUCAAAGCUGAAGAGAAGAACUGCAUUUGUGUUCAGCAACUGUCCGGAGUUGGUGGAUGUUCUGUCCGAGCCUGAUUUAAAAUAUUGAUAAACAGAUGCUGUGAAGUGAGUCCAGAUGCUAGACACAGAAAAAGAUGCUGCAAUGGAGGAACACAGCAAGCACCUUCCAGGAAGAGCUGAAGAAUAUUAGAAAUAAAGACUCUAAAAUAACA